AUGGGCGCAAGCUGAUGCAGCGACGCCGCGUGAGGGAUGGAGGCCUUCGGGUUGUAAACCUCUUUCGCCAGUGAAGCAGGCCUGCUCCUUGUGGGUGGGUUGACGGUAGCUGGAUAAGAAGCGCCGGCUAACUACGUGCCAGCAGCCGCGGUAAUACGUAGGGCGCGAGCGUUGUCCGGAACUAUUGGGCGUAAAGAGCUCGUAGGCGGCUGGUCGCGUCUGUCGUGAAAUCCUCUGGCUUAACUGGGGGCUUGCGGUGGGUACGGGCCGGCUUGAGUGCGGUAGGGGAGACUGGAACUCCUGGUGUAGCGGUGGAAUGCGCAGAUAUCAGGAAGAACACCGGUGGCGAAGGCGGGUCUCUGGGGCCGUUACUGACGCUGAGGAAGCGAAAGCGUGGGGAGCGAACAGGAUUAGAUACCCUGGUAGUCCACGCCGUAAACGUUGGGCACUAAGUGUGGGGGGCCUUUCCGGGUCU
rnacentral:rRNA from 1 species